rnacentral:lncRNA from 1 species
CCAGCUGGAAGCCAGGGCAUGGCUUGGCCUGGAAGCAGAGUGGCCGCGGGUGGGGACCUGAGGGCACACAAGAGGCCUUGGGUGCAUCUCAGAGAUGAGGAAACCCAGGGACAGAGAAGUGAGGUCCAUCACUAAGGUUCAAUAGUCAGGAUGUCUGGAGGCUGGGGUUAGGGGGCAGCAUGGAUCUGAAAUCAUAAUUGCUGGUGUGCAGAAGGCUUUCUUGUGCAGGUCUAUGUGCUAGAUGGAGGCAUUUCUAAGCAUUGCAAACCAUCAACAGCUUACACUGUGCCUAAAAUUUGUCCAAAGCUCUCCUGAAUACUUACCUCAAUCCUUUCUCCCUGGAAACUGUGUAGUGGGGUUUCCCCUAAAUUCAGCUUAGAUUUAAAAAAGUCUAGUCAUGAGUCUGUACUUUCUUAAGAAUUUUCUUUUCCUUCUGGCCCCUUAAAUUAAUCCCCCAAACUGCAUCCUGUAUAAUCCUUCUAAGAUGCAAAUGUGAUUUAAAAUUA